rnacentral:rRNA from 1 species
UACGGAGGAUCCAAGCGUUAUCCGGAAUUACUGGGCGUAAAGAGUUGCGUAGGUGGCAGAGUGUGUCUGUAGUGAAAGCGUUCGGCUCAACCGAAUAAACAUUAUGGAAACUGCUCGGCUAGAGGAUGAGAGAGGUUAUUGGAAUUCCCAGUGUAGGAGUGAAAUCCGUAGAUAUUGGGAGGAACACCGAUGGCGUAGGCAGAUAACUGGCUCAUUCCUGACACUAAGGCACGAAAGCGUGGGGAGCAAACGGG